rnacentral:rRNA from 1 species
CUCCAGACUCCUACGGGAGGCAGCAGUGGGGGAUAUUGCACAAUGGGGGGAACCCUGAUGCAGCGACGCCGCGUGGGUGAAGGAGUAUUUCGGUAUGUAAAGCCCUAUCGGCAGGGAAGAAGAAAGACGGUACCUGACUAAGAAGCCCCGGCUAACUACGUGCCAGCAGCCGCGGUAAUACGUAGGGGGCAAGCGUUAUCCGGAUUUACUGGGUGUAAAGGGGGCGCAGACGGCGAUGCAAGCCAGGAGUGAAAGCCCGGGGCCCAACCCCGGGACUGCUCUUGGAACUGCGUGGCUGGAGUGCAGGAGGGGCAGGCGGAAUUCCUGGUGUGGCGGUGAAAUGCGUAGAUAUCAGGAGGAACACCGGUGGCGAAGGCGGCCUGCUGGACUGCAACUGGCGUUGAGGCCCGAAAGCGUGGGGAGCAAACAGGAUUAGAUACCCCGGUAAC